ensembl:lncRNA
UUUUUUUUGUUUUUUUAUUGAGUCAUAUGAGCUGUUUUUAUGUUUCAGAAAUUAACCCCUUUUUGGUUGCAUCAUUUGCAAACAUUUCUUCCUAUUCAUAGGUUGUAUUUUCAUUUUGUUGACAAUUCACUUUGCUGUGCAAAAAGCUUAUAAGUUUGAUUAGGUCCCAUUUGUUUAUUUUUGCUUUUAUUUCUAUUGCCUUGGGAGACUGACCUAAGAAAACAUUGCCACAAUUUAUGUCAGAGAAUGUUUUGCCUAUGUUCUCUUCUAGGAGUUUUAUGGUGUCAUAUAUUAUAUUUAAGUCUUUAAGCUAUUUGAAGUUUAUUUUUUUGUAUGGUGUGUGGGAGUCUUCUAACUUCAUGGAUUUACAUGCAGCUGUCCAGCUUUCCCACAUCACUUGCUGGAGAGACUGAAUUUUCUCCGUUAUGUAUUCUUGCCUCUUUUAUUGAAGAUUAAUUGCCUGAAGUGUGUGUGUUUAUUUUUGGGAUCUCUGUAAUCUGUUCCAUUGAUCUAUAUGUCUGUUUUUGUGCCAAUACCAUGCUAUUCUGAUUAUUGUAGCCUUGUAGUAUUGUCUGGAGUCUGGAAGGGUUAUACCUCCAAUUUUGUUCUUUUUCUUCAAGGUUGCUUUGGCAGUUCUGGGUCUUUUAUGGUUCCAUUUAAAUUUUAGGAUUAUGUUGUUCUUGUUCUAUGAAAAACGUCAUGGGUAAUUUGAUAGGGCUUUCAUUAAAUCUUUAGAUUGCUUUGGGAAAUAUGGCCAUUUUAAUUAUUCCAAUCCGAGAGCAUGGGAUAUCUUUCCAUUUCCUUGGGUCAUCUUUAAUUUCCUUUAUUGAUGUUUUAUAGUUUUCAGCACAUAAGUCUUAUAAGUAACAUAACUUUUAAGUUAUAUUAAAACAUCUAGAAAUAUGGGCUAGAAAGUUAAGUUUGCAUAAUUCUUAGAAAAACUAUUAGUCCUCAAAGACUCUUUGAUAUGUGGCUUUGGGCUCAGUCUCUAGGAUCCUUGGGGGACCUCAUCAUUUUCAUCUGUUCUUGGGAGUUCUUGAGUAUAAUGUUUGAGAACCACUGUCUGAUACUCAGAAGCAUUAGAGAAGACAGUAGGGUGCGAACAAGGCCUUGGAGAAUAAACAGGAGUUCUGCAGCAACAGUUGUGGGGCACAAGCCUCUGAGGAGAGUAGCAUGAUCGGAGUGGAACUGUUUUUUGAAUAUGAUGGUGGCAGCCUAUAGCAAAGAAUAGAAAGUGAAAGGGAUUAGAGGUGAGGAACCAGUUCAGAGACUUCUGUAGCCAUCUAGGAGGGAGGCAAAGAUGUCAACUGAUGGUAGGAUGCUCUUCAAGAGACCAUAGCAGCAGGCUGUGUAGAGGAGUUAAUGCAGCAGGGGUGGGGACCAUGGGCAUUUGAGCCACUUCUUCAUGUAACUCCCUUGUGCUUUCAGGGCCUGUGUGAGCCCAGUCAUGUGUAUAUCACUUAUAUUUGAUGAUGGAGUGUGGCUGUGCGUACCCAACUUUAUGGCUUGGUGGGUCAGACAACAUUCAGUUCAUGAUAGACAGCCUAGGUUGCAUGGUAGCCUCGUGGCCCUUGGUUAAACAUUAAGCCUCAACUAAGGCCAUAAUGAGCCAUAGAAAUGCUACAGGGAUGGAGAGAAGGCAAAACACUGUGAGAACAAUCUGAAGGGAGACAGAAAUGACAUACCAAGGUAGAAGGAAGCCAAUAUGCCUUUGGUCUGAGACAGAUGAUACUAUAAGGGAUGGGAGGAAAAUAUCAGGUAUAUAAUCUUGGGGAGGUCACAGGACGUGAUUUGUAGUUUCCUUUUUCAUACUUAAAAUACGCUGACAGUGGAAUGGGUAUUAAGGAUAGUAUAUUAAGAGUUCAGAGAAGGGAACAAGAGCUAUGGGGGGAUAUGAGGGAGAGGUGGCGAUCAGAGAAGCUUGUAAAGGAGAUGGCACCUGGCCUGCACCUCACCAACUUGGUAGGAGUUCAUGGGCAUGAUAAACAUUCCAGACAGGGAAAGGCAUUGAGCCUGAAGUUCUUAAAGUAACUCAGCUUGGCUCCUGACUUUGAUUCAUGGGGGAGGAAUUCACACAAGGCCAUUGGCCAAGUGGAAGAGCUCAAAGGUCAAGGACUGUACAUUUUUUUUUGUAGCAUUUAUCAUUUUUUGAGCUUAAAUGAAGCCGAACCUUGCAGGGAAAUGAACACAUGUUACACAUCUCCAAAGCCAGGAGGCUUCAUAUCCAGGAAACUGUGCUGGUCGGAUAGUAAUACAAAUGACUAAUGCACCCUCCUAGGUCUCAUGUGGUUUGAGACCCAGGAAUCUGGGCCAAGCAGGAGACAAACAGGCGGUGGCUUCAAGUGAGGGUGAUUAAGCAAGAAGCAGCCCAGUGAAGAAGAGAAUGCUGUUCUGGGAAUUAGGAGAGGGGUUCUUACUCCAGUGGCCCUGAAUAAGCCAGGUUCCUUCUCUGGCUUAAGUUUUCCUCAUUAAUGUCUUGAUAUAAUAGCCUAGAGGGCCAUGGAUUACCAGCAAGUGUAUGCCCUAUUAUCCAAGACUGUAUCCUAUGAUAGAUCCUAAAAUCCAACCACAUCCAGGAUAGGACUUAGAAACAAGUCAUUUUGCAUUUAUUCCUACUAAUCGUUUAAGGUCUAGUUAGCUGUCUUCUUCACUGGGGGGCUCUAAUUCCCCCAGACAGAGCUGGUCCCUGCUCCCACAGAACUUGAAUACACAAUUAUCACAAUUGGGACCUUUGAAGGAAACAUCAAAAGGGCCAUCACCUCUCUUUUCUCUCUGGGCAUUUAAAUACAGGUAGAUCUUUGAAUUAAGCUUUUCAGAUCUGGAUUCUCAGCCUCUAAGCUAGGGCUGCCUGGCAAAAGAUGAAACAGUGACUCCUCGGAGAUAUGAAAUUGCUCCUAAUAAAAGUGCAGAGACUUAUCUGUUACUUGGUCUGUGUGAGUGGGUAACCUCUUCGUUGGCUUGAGAGUCAAUGUAUGUUUCUCACAAGGCUCGAACUGCUAGAUAUUCCAGAAAACCACCUCCUGAUUUAACUUUUCUCCCUAAGCCUUUUACAGGUGCAAUAUUAGAAAGAGAAGAGGGCACCGUGUGAGACAGACCUAGGUUCAUACUCAAGGUCCACCACCUGCUUGCUGUGUUUUCUUAGAAAAUCCACUUUACCUCUUUAAGCUUUUAUGUCUUCAUCUACAAAAUCCAAUAAAAAUAUUGACUCCAAAGGGUUAUUAUGAAGAUUAGGUGGAGCAGUAUAUAUAAAAGUAGCAGAGUUGAAGGUUUUAGAAAAUGCAAGUUGAAUCCCUGCUGUGUGCCAGUCUGACACCUACACACACUUGGGCUUGCUGGCAGGUUAUUUGGAAAGCCAGGGAAAGUGGAGUUUUUCUCCCAGGCAGAGGAACCGGAGGUGAAUUACUUCCUUCUUAAUCAGACUAUAGCAGAAGAGGCUGCAGAUGGAUGGGCAAGGCUGCCUGACAGCUGGCCUUGGCUGUGUUCAUCCUGGUGCCAAAAAGUCUCAUCCACAGAGCAGGGCUUCACCCCUGGGAAACCCUGGGAGCAGCCUCCCCCAGCUAUGCUUGGAGAACGUGACUUCGCUCUGCUGAGACAAGCACUGCGUGCGACCUACCACUCAGCCACGUCCCUUCCUCCAGAUGCUGACAGGGGUUCUGCCCAGAGCCCUGCACUCCAUACAUUGUGAUUCAGGUGACACUCACAGAACACCUACUCAGCACCAGGCUGUGUGAUCUGUGUUUGCUCACUGAAGCUUCACCAGCCCAAGAAGCAGUGACCUUGUUCUAGUUUACACACAGGGAAACUGGAAUCAGAAAAUCUGGGAUACCAGAAUUCUUUUAUUUCUCUGAGCUUUAAAAACUGAAUUCUUCUCCUCUAUGAUAUCAUGGAACAGAGAUAAAUCCAUACUUCCUCUUCAGAAGUGGACAUUGAUAAUUAAAACACAAUAAUAACUAUCACAAGAAUAGUUAUAACAUUCAUCAAACUAUUGCUAGGCAUUAUGUCAAGCAGUGACCCUUAACAGGGAGUGAUUUUUGACCCCCGGGGGACAUUUGGCAAUGUCCAGGGACAUAUUUGGGGUGCUAUAGCAUCAAGCAGGUGGAGGCUAGGGAUGCUGCUGAACAUCCUAAAAUAAACAGGAAAGCCCCUACAACAAGGAAUUAUCUGGUUCAAAAUGCUAAUAGUGUGGAUGUUGAGAGACCCUAAUGUAAAUCAUUUAAAUGAAUUAUGUCUUUUAAUCUUCAUUAAAACCCAACAAGGUAAAUACAAUUUUGUCCCUUUAAGACAUGAGGAAUCUGAAGCACAGAUUGAUUAGGUAACUUCUCCCAGGAUGUCCCUAGGAAGCAGUAAUGCUAGGAAUUUGAAUCCAGAAACCCGAGUCUAGGAAUUCUAAGCAGAGCAGUGUCAUUAGCUUUUAGGGUUUUGUGUUGUCUCUGUCAGGUCAGGCUUAUAUAACAGAAUACCAAAGACUUGGUGGCUUAUAAAAUAUAGAAAUUUAUUUCUCAUGGUCUGGAAACUGAGAAGUCCAAGUUCAAGAUGCCAGCUGAUUUGGUGUUUGGUCAGUGCCUGCUUUCUGGCCCAUAGAUAGCCUUCUUUUCACUCUAUCUUCCCAUGACACAAGGGGUGAGGGAACUCUCUGGGGUCUCUUUUAUCAUGGCAAAAAUCGCAUUCAUGAGGGGUUCACUAUUAUGGCAUAAGCACUUCCCCAAGACCCUUACCUCCAAAUACUGUCACAUUGAGGUUAAGAUUUAACAUAUGCAUUUUGAUUCUACAGUACUCAUAGCACCUAACAGAGUGUCUGGUGCUUAUGAGGAGAUGGUCUGAGAGUUGCUGUGUCCACAGUUGAACUGGUAUGGACUAAGUAAUUGUUUCAGACUUGUCCCUUCUUCACUGAGGUCUGGGAAGAUUCCAGAAGUAGCAGAUAGUUCUUAAGGUAGAGUAGGUCCUCAAAGUCAUAGAAAAGUCCUGUUGAAAGGAAUCCUGGACUACAGUCAGGCUUGUCCAAGGUCCCGGAUGGCAAGCAGAUGGCAGGAUCUGUGUCCCAAACCACCAUCCUUGCUUUCCAGUCAGAACAUAGGGUUGUGUUAUGUUCAAAUAUGAAAAUCAGUGUGAAAGUGCUUAGGAAGAGGACUAGUGAUGUAGGAAUAUGAGGAAUAGAUAUGUCAAUAUAGAUUUUUUUUUUGUGAAAGGAGAAUGCCUUAAAUCCUUUAAAAUGCAUGCGUCUUUAGAACAUGCCUAAUAUGAAGUGUUCAGGGAUGGAGGCCAUAGGGAAGUGUCUUCAGGCAAUAAAGUCUUCCUCCUCACCACCUCCUUAAACCCCAUGCACGUCACCAUCCAUGGUUUCAUGCUCAUGGUUGACCAUGCACAAAUAUGAUCCUAUUUAGGUGAAUUCAAAACAUUUGCUAAUUGAUUUUCAAGAAUGAAGGUUUUAGAUUUUUAUUCUUUGAGUCUUAACAAAGGUUCUUAAGGUGACUAUUAGUCUUUGGGUUGACAAUUCUCAGUUUUCAGUUUACAUUGCAAUUAUCUCAGCAAAAGGGGUCUCUUUGGUGUUUCUUAUACUCCAAUCCCUUACUUUCUGUGCUCAUGAUUCUUGGCUAAUAGAGCUGUGAGGGAUCUAGAAACUAUUUAGUGAAACCCAAACAUUUUGUGGAUGUGGUAAUUGGGGCUUAGAGGGAAAGGAAAUAACUUUGCUAUUAUAAUAAUUACAAUCAUAAGCAAGAAUUAUGAUUGUGAUUAGUAUCACUGUAUAUGAGCAUAAAGCUUUCAAGUUUACAAAUCAUUUUCAUUUAACUGAUAUUGUUGGAACACCAUAACAACAUCAUCUUUUCUUCUCAUGUUUCAGGUGAGAAAUAGAUUCAGAUGAAGUGAAUUCCUCCAAAUUAUACAGUUAAGAGAAGGAAGGUAAUCCUAGUCCCUACACCCUAGCCUAGGUCUCAUGGCAAAUUAUUGUGGACUCUUGACAUUGUAUAUCUCUGCACAUAGCUAUUUAUUAAGCCAGCCUAUCUCCUAACUUUGUUUAUUGUUUUGAAGGGCAUAAUGAGUUCUAGUCCAAGGAGUCAGAGAUCUUACCAGCAGAAGUGUGACCAUGGACAAAUUAGUUAACUUGUCUAGACCUCAGUAUCUCCAUCUGAAAAACAGAUUGUUGUAUAAUUACUCAUGAAAUAUCAAAAGCUAUUACAAUAAAAGAGUGGUUAUCAUUAUUAAAAUGGAUUCAUCUGACUUUUUGGCCUCAGCUGCCCACCAAUGAGACUAUGACAUGCCUUUUGGAGAUGUAAGGUAUCAUUCUAGCCUAGAUCUUAUUCCUAUGCCAGAUAAAGACCCAUUUCCCUCUCCUAAUGGAUAAUCUCCUUGUCAAGGGCUAGGAAAAAUAAAGCAUAAGUUAUGAAGAGUUACUGCAGCUGGAGGCAUCCUUCAUGAUUAAAGGAUAAACAAACAAAUCUUUUGAGUAAAAUAAAAUGUUUCUUUACAACAAUAAAAACAACCUUCUACAGUCACAUACAAUGGCUGUUUUGAAGCUGGUUUCCCACUCCAAGGUCAGACUGGGGCCGAGACUUCAUUGUCCUUUCAUCUCCAGAAUUAACUCUAUUUGUAGCUCAAUAAGAACCAGCCAUGCCCUGUGGCC